rnacentral:rRNA from 1 species
AUGAACGCUAGCUACAGGCUUAACACAUGCAAGUCGAGGGCAUCAGGGCGAUAGCUUGCUAUCGUUGCUGGCGACCGGCGCACGGGUGAGUAACGCGUAUCCAACCUGGCCCCCAGUAGGGAAUAGCCCGGCGAAAGUCGGAUUAAUGCCCUAUGUUAUCCGAAGAGGACAUCUGAUUUGGAUUAAGAUUCAUCGCUGGGGGAUGGGGAUGCGUCCGAUUAGGUAGUAGGCGGGGCAACGGCCCACCUGGCCGACGAUCAGUAGGGGUUCUGAGAGGAAGGUCCCCCACAUUGGAACUGAGACACGGUCCAAACUCCUACGGGAGGCAGCAGUGAGGAAUAUUGGUCAAUGGUCGAGAGACUGAACCAGCCAAGUAGCGUGCAGGAUGACGGCCCUAUGGGUUGUAAACUGCUUUUAUGCGGGGAUAAAGUGAGGGACGUGUCCCUUUUUGUAGGUACCGCAUGAAUAAGGACCGGCUAAUUCCGUGCCAGCCGCUGC